rnacentral:piRNA from 1 species
UGAAGCCAGCUUGGUGCUAAUGGACAGU